CAGCCGCCGCGGUAACCCCAGCGCCACAAGUGGGAACCACGCUUAUUGGGUCUAAAGCAUCCGUAGCCGGUUCUGCAAAUGCCCUGUGAAAUCGUUGCGCUUAACGUAACGGCGUGCAGGGUAGACUACAGAACUAGAGACCAGAGGAAGGAGACGGUAUUCCUGAGGGAGCGGUAAAAUGUGAUAAUCUCAGGAGGACCACCGAUGGCGAAGGCAGUCUUCUAAUAUGGAUCUGACGGUGAGGGAUGAAAGCUAGGGGAGCGAUCCGGAUUAGAUACCCGAGUAGUCCUAGCCGUAAACGCUGCAUGCCAGAUGUUACACGAUCUUCGAGAUUGUGUAGUGUCGAAACGAAGGUGUUAAGCAUGCCACCUGGGAAUUACGGUCGCAAGGCUGAAACUUAAAGGAAAAGGCGGGGAAACACA
rnacentral:rRNA from 1 species